GGGACAACAGUUGGAAACGACUGCUAAUACCGCAUGACACAUAGGUGUCGCAUGGCACUUAUGUCAAAGAUUUAUCGCUGAAAGAUGGCCUCGCGUCUGAUUAGCUAGUUGGUGAGGUAACGGCCCACCAAGGCGACGAUCAGUAGCCGGACUGAGAGGUUGAACGGCCACAUUGGGACUGAGAUAUGGCCCAGACUCCUACGGGAGGCAGCAGUGGGGAAUAUUGGGCAAUGGGCGCAAGCCUGACCCAGCAACGCCGCGUGAAGGAAGAAGGCUUUCGGGUUGUAAACUUCUUUUGUCAGGGACGAGUAGAAGACGGUACCUGACGAAUAAGCCACGGCUAACUACGUGCCAGCGGCCGCGGUAAUACGUAGGUGGCAAGCGUUGUCCGGAUUUACUGGGUGUAAAGGGCGUGUAGCCGGGAGGGCAAGUCAGAUGUGAAAUCCACGGGCUCAACUCGUGAACUGCAUUUGAAACUACUCUUCUUGAGUAUCGGAGAGGCAAUCGGAAUUCCUAGUGUAGCGGUGAAAUGCGUAGAUAUUAGGAGGAACACCAGUGGCGAAGGCGGAUUGCUGGACGACAACUGACGGUGAGGCGCGAAAGCGUGGGGGGCAAACAGGAUUAGAUACCCUGGUAGUCCACGCUGUAAACGAUGAAUACUAGGUGUGCGGGGACUGACCCCCUGCGUGCCGCAG
rnacentral:rRNA from 1 species